rnacentral:rRNA from 1 species
GAUGAACGCUGGCGGCGUGCCUAAUACAUGCAAGUCGAGCGAACAGACGAGGAGCUUGCUCCUCUGACGUUAGCGGCGGGCGGGUGAGUAACACGUGGAUAACCUACCUAUAAGACUGGGAUAAAUUCGGGAAACCGGAGCUAAUACCGGAUAAUAUAUUGAACCGCAUGGUUCAAUAGUGAAAGACGGUUUUGCUGUCACUUAUAGAUGGAUCCGCGCCGCAUUAGCUAGUUGGUAAGGUAACGGCUUACCAAGGCAACGAUGCGUAGCCGACCUGAGAGGGUGAUCGGCCACACUGGAACUGAGACACGGUCCAGACUCCUACGGGAGGCAGCAGUAGGGAAUCUUCCGCAAUGGGCGAAAGCCUGACGGAGCAACGCCGCGUGAGUGAUGAAGGUCUUCGGAUCGUAAAACUCUGUUAUUAGGGAAGAACAAAUGUGUAAGUAACUAUGCACGUCUUGACGGUACCUAAUCAGAAAGCCACGGCUAACUACGUG